GGUACGGGUACGGUACGCUCGGUACCGACUGGUACCGACCGGUACAGCGAACCUUGGCGGUAGUACUAUAGGUGACAUUUCAGCCGAUGAAUGGAAGGGGCUCACUGGCUUAUGCGAUUUCAUUAUAUUUUAAUUAUUUACAUUACUGUUGGCUUCUUAAUUUCAUUAUCAGAUAAAGAUUAUUGAUGGUUUUACUCUAUUGUUGCUUGCAAGUGGAUGUAGAUUUCUAGAAGAUUUGCAUUUAAUAAGGUAGUGAGUUUCUUGAAGAUUUGCAGUAGUCUUUUUGACUUGGCAAUCGAAUCUGGUUUCAUGUGACUUUUUUCUUUUUGAAAAGAAUUCCAGUGGAUUGAGUUUUUUUUUUUGGUUGGAUCUGGGAGUGCUCUUUUGUUAAUCUACACGUAUUUGUUGCAAUGUAUUUUAAUCGCUUUUGAAUAUUUCCAAUCCGACAGUAUGAGUUCAGACUUGCUUAUGAUUUUCCUGCUGCCAGUAUUACAGUUUUUGGUAUUCAUUUUAAUAUUUCUAUUUUUAGUUUGAAAGCAUCACACAAGCAUUAUUUUGCAGCCUGAUUAGUGGUUUCUGGAUGUCUCAAAAGAGAUGUUCCUGAUGCCAAUUCAAUGUUCCUAUAGAUUCCAUCUUACAGUGUUGGACAAGAUAGGCAUGAUUCAGAGGAUGAAUUUAAGUUAAAGAUUUGCAGUAAUUAAGGAAUUUUUUGCGACUUGGUUUUUAGGGUUCGCAGAAUUUUGAGCUGUUUGUUCUUGUUUGAGGAUUUGACGAUUGAAUCUGGUCUCUUGUGGUUUAGUUUCCUUUUUUUCCUAAAAAAGAAUCCAAGUGGUUCAGGUUUCUUUCUUCUGGUAUUGGGGGUGCUCCAUCGUUAAUCUGCAGGAAUCAGCUGUGGUGUAUUCUGAUUGGAUUUUUGAGUAUCGCCAAUCUGACAGUCCGAGUUCAGAUUUACUUCAUGAUUUUCUUGCAUUCGGUUGAAGCACUGGUGCUGGGGUUACAAGUUUUCAGUAUUUGUUUUAAUAAUAUUUUCAGUGUGAAAUCAUCAUGGAAGCAGUUUCUAUGUUUCGGAGAAUGUUCCUGAUUCUAAGUCGGUGUUAUUUUGGUUUCCAUAUUCUGAUGUUGGACAUCAGAGGCAUGAUUUAGAGGCCGGAAGUUCUUGUGAAGGGGGUUUCUUUAUUACAUGGUGGUUUGAUUAGUUGGUUUGAAACAUGAUGAAAAUAUUAUUGUGCAGUGUGACAGUGAUUUCUAAUUUUGAUGCUUAAUCUAAUCAUGGUUUUUGAUUCUUGAUGGUUUCUCUAGGUUCCAAUUUUUGAGAAGGCUGCCCUUGUUUUCCAAGUAAUUCAACUCAAAGAGAUGAUGUUAAAGCAGGUGUCCACAUUGGUUUUGUUUUGAAGGGGGUUUCUUUUCCUUUGAUUAUUUUCAUUUUGUUCAGAUAAUGAGAUUUGAUCAAUUGGUUUGAUUCAGAGAAGCAAUAUGUGAUCAGUGAGAUGAUUUUUUCCACUUCUUGUGUUUGUUGAAAUCCUUCUGUCUGGUUGCGGUAGGAUUUGUUGUGGCAACAAAUUGCACUACCUGAUCAGAGCUAUCAUAUACUGUUGGCAAGCACUGUGGGGACAUAAUAGUUUCUUCUGAUCUUUAGUCAUCUUCUGUGGCUUCUUAGGAUAUAUUUCCUCUGCUCUUUAUUCCGUUGUUACUUCAGGUUAUACUGCUCAAUUCACCUCGUUUUACCAGUAUCAAACUGACGAAUUGAUUGUGUUCGCUUUUCAUGAUUCAGAGCAUUUAGAGGAGCAAUUAUGAAGCUAUAAAUGUCUUAUUCAUUUGUUCGUUUGUGUUAUUGGGUCUUUGCUGCUUUUGCUGUAGUACUUGUAAGGAUAUAAUGAACAUCAUGUUCGACGGGUUGGAGUUGUUGGAUGGCUCCAGAGAUACAAGGUAUUUCAGGUUCUGAUUAUCUAUUAUAUGGGACUCAUCCACCAUCUUUUUCACCAUUCUUGUUGCUACUCAGUCUACUGGCCGACUGCGUAGAGCAAAAAGCAGAGAUGAUUUGCUGACAGAGCGACUGCUCUGGUACAUGAAAUUAUUCAUAUUCUGUGGGCUAGAUGUGAAUUAUUAUUGUGUUUUUUUUGUCAUAUUUGCAAGAGCUUGAGCUUGGCAAUUGCUGAGGGCCUGAAAAUCAAGGUUAUUUCUUCCUUUAGAUAUCAUUUGCUUCCUCCUUUAUCCUAAUUGUUUGCUGUUAUUCAAUGACUAGGGUCUUGUCUGAGAUAACCUGCUCUUGGCUUUUUGGUUGGUUCUCUGAAAGUCUUGGUUGUGUACUUGUACCUAUAUUUGCUCGUGUGGUUGAUCUUAUGGUCUGUUGAUGUUGCUUCUUCCAGUUGAUAGCUUUGGGAUUAAUUUCCUCUUAUGGAGAUGCUAUACUUGGUAUAUGUUUAAUAACAUCAUCAACUGCCAAUCUUAAUCUAUGGUCAGUUUGUACUUCCGCUGUUGCAGAAGAUCUUGGGCAUCAUGGGAUAAUCUUGCUUAUGGAUGAGCUUGUGCUGUAAGACAGAGUUUUGCCCAUAUGGAAGAGUUUGUCCUUGUUUAUGUUGUACUUAUUGUUUGAUACCUUUAUGGUCCUGAUUACCCUUUUUUUUUCACUAGUUGGUUUUAUUCCUUUGGGUUGAUAUCUUAAUAAUUCUUUCUAUUUGCUUCGCCAAAAUAUUGUUUUGAUCAGGAAGGCAAUAUGGAGGCUCAAUUCUGUUGGGAACAAGAUGGAUGCUAUGUUGAUAAGUUGUUUUGCAGCUGAUAUGCUGUACUAUGUUUCAUAUCUAUGUUCCAAGUCUUAUUAAACCUCUCAUUCAUUCCUGUUGUUCCAGUAACCUUGUGACUUCCUCUCAUUUGUUUGACCAUCACCAAGGUUUUAAAUACCAGUGGGACAGUGGGGACCUUGAGUGCUCAAGACAGUCUGGGUGGAUUGGAGCAUGAUAUGUAUUUUUCAUGGAGGAGGUUCCUUAACCUUGAUUGUAGAACUUGUUCUACUCCAUUUUUUUUACUCUUAUGCUUAGUGUACUUGUUUAGUAUGUUAUUUCUGAUGUUGCAGAAGAGCUUGUGCGGCAUUUGACAAUCUUGCUCAAGGGCAUCUUGAUCUGAUGAUGGAAGACAGUUUGGAGGAAUUGGAAUAUAAUAAUAUGAUUUUUAUGAAGGGGGUUUCUCAUCUUUGAUACUGGAGUUAUACAAUUUCUCUUAUACUAGCUGUUCAAGGGAAAGUGUGUAUUUUAAUUUAUUCUUUGUGCUGUUCAGCUGUAGGUCACGAAUUUGUCCUAUGGGUUUGUUCUCACAGAACCUACCUUUCCUUCACAAUUUUUGAAGAAUAGAGAGGAGAAUGGUUUCUCAUGGCCUUUCCCCUCUUUUUUGGUCACAUGUUGCCUCAAAUGGACUUAAACCACUCCGAAUCGAGCAAAACCAAACGGUUCCGCUUGGUUUUGUUCGAGCUGGUUCAGAAUGGUUUCCCAAUCAAGAAGCCAAAUUGACUUGGUUUCUCACCAGUUCGAGAUGCCCCGAAUUGGGUAGUUCGGGUCAGCUUGGCAGACCAUGGUUUCAACAAAACCUUGAUUUGAUCAGUGAAGGCAAUAUGGAGGAAUUGUGUGAGGAAAUGUUUUUUCACGAUGAUUGCUUAUUUAUAGUUGAAUUAUUGUAUUAAUUGUAUGCUCUCCAAUAUAGUGGGUUAUAUGAAAGGAUUAAAGAAUAAUAAUCUACUAUAUGUGCUGUCACGGUUUUACAUGUCAUUUUGGAUGAAGGGAAGGGGGUCCAUUAGGUACACCAUUCAUUUGCUGUAGUAGUCAUUUUAUGGACUGUUAACUUUUUUAAUUGUUUUCUUAUCAAUAUUGAGAAUGUUGAUGGUUUUGGUAUACUGUAGGCUGUGGAUAUGCUUAGAUUAUGGAUUUGAUUAUCUUUGGUGAGCUUCAUUUUUAUGUCCCGUAGGGCAGGCAAUCUUUUGGCUUUGUCUUCUAUCUGCAUGCAACACCUACUUUAGGAGUCAAAAACAUAUUGGAGAACAUAUGGCUGCUAUGUUGAUAAGUGGAUUUUUGGCUGAUAUAUGUGUUGUUUCUUUGUUUCAUCCUUGUUCCAAAAUCUUAUAUAUUCUUGGUGGGUCUUAUUUGUCUGACCAGUAUCUGUGGGCUGUUGAUGUUCAUUGAAAAUUGAUUUGGUAUCAUUGAUGAGAUUCAUUCUGAUUCACCAUUGGGUUUAGAUUAUUUCUUGUUGCCUCCAUGCCGUACGGGUUCUGAGUGUUGAAGCACUUUGGGAAUGGUAUGGAUGCUGUGUCGAUAAGUGGAUUUGUAGCUGAUAUUCUGUAUUGAGUUUGGUUCUGUUAUGUUCCAAAAUUUCAAUUAUUGCUGUUGGACUUUUCUCAUUUCUUUGAUGAGGACCUUGAUCACUCAAAUAACAUAGAUGAAUUGAAGUAUGAAUUGUUUUUUUUUUUGGUGCACAUGAAUGGGUUUCCUCAACCUUUACUGUAAGAUUGGUUGUACACUUGUACUAGUUUUUUCCUGAAAGUAACAUUCAUGUGAUAGGUAACUGUGAAUUCUGUUGUUGAAUGAGAGCUUGUGCAACAGGGGACUAUCUUGCUGAAGGGUAUCCUGAUCCAGGAAUUGAGGACCUUAUGGAGAAUUGGAGUUCAGUGAUGUGAUUUUUCUAAUCGUUAUGUUUGACAGUGGAUUUUGUUAUGCUAAUUUUUCCUUAUACUAGCUGUUAAUAUGGAAGAUCAAUUUAUCAUUUCUGCUGUUGCAGACAUGCUUGCGUUUUAUGGCUCAAUUUUCCCAAGGCGGAAGAGUGUCCUUUAUAUUGUGGUUAUUGUUUAUAUAUGUUUAUGUUUCUUAUUGCCUUUCUCAGUACUAAUUUGUAAUUCGUCAAUUGUACUGCAGAUUUUGAUUAGUGCUGAAGUGCGAUUUGCAAUGGGUUCUAUUUUCUUCCUGUUGGGCUUGGGUAUAAUUUGGCUCUUGUCUCACUCACUAUGCCUUGCUGUUUGGUGUAUCAUGGAAGCGAUAUAAAUUCAGUUGUCGAUAAAUGACAUAGUAGCUGUUAUGCUGCCAGGGUCUAUUUUCUUCAUCUUUGUUUGAAAUACCCAAAUUUUACUUGUGGGUUAGUAUCCGCUUUAUAAGAACCUUGAUUUCAUCAGUGAAUGUCAUACUCGGAACUGGAGUGAAGAAAUGAACUUCUAUUAAGCCUUUGUUUUAUUUUCUUGAUUAACUUUUAUCAAUGUAAUUUUGUAAUUUGUUAUUGGUCCCUCAAGUUUUGGAACUUG